ensembl:lncRNA
CACAGAGGCAUAAAAAAGGCAGUGCUGCUCAGAGGAUGAAACACAGAGCCUUCCCUUGGCCCUUCCCAACCGUACAUGACACGGCCCAGAGGAUCAGAUGCUCUCUGUCUGCUUCUUGAAUCAUGUUUACGAAUGUUGCCCUUCCACAAGUGGAGAACAGCAGUGCCCUUAUGACGUUGCUACUUCAGGCCUGCCGGUUAGCAAGGAUUUAGGAUUUUGGGGGUUCUAUUAGAGAACAGAGUAAGAAUAAAGCGAGAGGAGAUCCUGUCUGCUUAUUUCCAGGCUGCUUCUAUGUGUGUGGAUUCAGGCUGUGGGUUCACAGGCAGCUGAGUUGAUUGGAUGGCUUCAUUCCUCUGAAAUGAAAUCUUACCUCCUCUUCCUUCUCUUGCCCUUCAUCUUCCCCCUCACCUCACCCUUCGUACUCCCCUCCUUCUUAACCCUUUCUGGGUUAUUUUUCUGUUGAGUUGGUGAGCUGUGUCAGUUCAGAGACAUUUAUGGACCAACAUUAGAAUGAAUGGUGAGACUGUGAGGCUGAGGGCAGCAAGGGAGGGGGAACUGGGGAGGGCAGCCUCACCACUUCUGCAGAGAUAAAAGCAUCAGAGAUAAAAGUAUGAGUAUCGGAGUUUUUAUCAGAGAUAAAAGUAUUGUGUCAGCCCAUUGCAUCUCUCAAAACCACAGCUUCAGUUUUUCUCAGGAAAGUACGUGCAUCUCUGUUUAUAUGCAGAUGACUUUCUGGUUCUCUCUCAUAUCUCCCUCUUCUCUCUGACAGGCAAGACUUCGGUUCCUCGGCCUCCUGCCCCAUCUUUUAUGGAUCUCAGGAACUGCCUGUGAGGCUGGCACAUGGCCCUGUCCAUAUUAGUUGCUGGUUCUCACGGCUGUUCCUACAGACCAUUACUGGUGCAAGCUUUCAUUGGCUCUGUGUCAAACACACACAUAUACAAGGAUCUGUCCUGUCCAUCAAAGCCAUGGAUUUACUGAAGUUAUGUGUGUUCAUGGUCCCAAGAGAAACACAUCUGUAGCAGCUGGUUCACCAGAUUUGUGAAGUUUCCCAUACAUUGUGAUUCCCAACCAGACCACUAGCAUACCUCAUGAUUCCCAGCCAGAUCACUGGCGUCUCACAUUUAAGUUCUUAAUGCUUGGCUUCUCUCUUACUUGGAGUGAAUGCUGUCUGUGCAGAGAAGACAAAGUCAGGCCAGAAGCAUUGGACAAGCUUGAGUGGGUCUGUGUGAACUUAAUGAAGUUCAACAAGGCCAAGUGCUCUCAGUGUAUGUACAGACUGGGAGAAGAGCCCAUUGAGAGCUGCCCUGCUGAGG